rnacentral:rRNA from 1 species
AGGACGAACGCUUGCGACGUGCCUAAGAAAUGCAAGUCGAACGGACAGUAGCAAUACUGUUAGUGGCGAACGGUCGCGUAACACGUGGGCAACCUGCCCUGAAGCGGGGGACAACAACUCGAAAGAGUUGCUAAUACCGCAUGUGAAUCGCUGUGGCAUCACAGAGGAUUCAAAGCCGCAAGGCACUUCAGGAUGGGCCCGCGGCCUAUCAGCUAGUUGGUGAGGUAACGGCCCACCAAGGCUUCGACGGGUAGCUGGUCUGAGAGGACGAUCAGCCGGAUUGGGACUGAGAUACGGCCCAGACUCCUACGGGGGGCAGCAAUUAGGAAUCUUGCGCAAUGGGCGAAAGCCUGACGCAGCGACGUCGCGUGAAGGAUGAAUCUUCGGGAUGUAAACUUCUUUUUUCAGUCCAUGAAACAAUGACAGUAGCUGAAGAAUAACGCCCGGACUAACUACGUGCCAGCAGCCGC